rnacentral:rRNA from 1 species
UACGGAGGGGGCGAGCGUUAUUCGGAAUUACUGGGCGUAAAGCGUGCGUAGGUGGUUCGUUGUGUCUGUGGUGAAAGCCCCGGGCUUAACCUGGGAAUGGCCAUGGAAACUGGCGAGCUGGAGUCUGGCAGAGGGGGGUGGAAUUCCGCGUGUAGCAGUGAAAUGCGUAGAGAUGCGGAGGAACACCGAUGGCGAAGGCAGCCCCCUGGGCUAAGACUGACGCUGAGGCACGAAAGCGUGGGGAGCAAACAGG